rnacentral:lncRNA from 1 species
CCCCAUGUCCUGGCGACGCGGGGACCCAGAGUCGCCAGCCCGGCCCCCUGUCCAAGCGGUUGCAGGAAGCCAGGGAGGACCCCAGGUCCAGCGGAGGCUUUGCAGCCCCCCACGCGGUCACACCUCUGAGGGAACUCACGCACCUGAGAGAACAGGGAAGAACUGUUUGAGAUUUUAACCCUCCAAAGUAACUGGAAGAGAAUCCCGGCAAAGCGUCAUAAUCACCACGCUCCUCUGAAGCCCAGGGUAACUGUUACUCGCAUAACAGGCAUCCAAACUCAUGGAUGCUCUCGUGGCACUCCCUGCCCUUGGACUUGCAGGUGUAGCGCUCGCUGCAUCUGCUUUACAGUAAGAUCUGAACGGCCUGAGCUCACGCUCAAGUCUUGACUGAAUUCUCUCCUCCAGGGCACACAGAUUGAGGACCCAGGAAGUGAGGGGCAGGCGGGCUCCUCACUGCAUCAGGAUGGGGCUUCCUGGCGACACCAAUGCUCCUCUAGCCGGGGUGCCACACCCUGAGUGCACCAGCCAGCCUGUCCUGUGUGGACCCCGAUCUCAGGAUGUCCCCAGCUACCGGAGCAACACGAGGGUCCACACUGUGAGCAGGACACUGACACAUCCGCCUCGGUUGCUGUCUUGAGCCCCAGAGAUCCGGGGAAUACAAUGUAGAGGGCCUGCAUUUGCCUGCCAUUCAAUUUAAUACAAAUGACUCUCUAAUGGCCUCGAAGGCCCUGAAUCGCAGGGUGCCAAUUUUUUAACUCCUACAGGUCAGUUGUGAGGGUGAAGACCAGGGGCUGGGGCCUGUAGACCUGGGUCUGGGAAAG